UGUAAUUAUACUACUACUUCCACUUCUUUUAUUCUCUUUCUCUGUCUCUGUCUCUCUCGUUUUGCCCUUUCAGUUCUCCCAAGCCUCCAUUCCCUUAUAACAACAAGGAUAGAGCAAUUCGAACUAAUAUUUGCUUAUUAAUUAAUUAUAGCAUCUAUCUCUGUAUUGUUUAUUGGCAUGCAGAGACCUUAGCUUUAACAAGUUGGAAGGACAGAUACCGAAUCUUGAAGACCUAUCAAAGUUGGAGAAUGUGUAAGCAAUCAAAGUUCUUUCAUUUAACUUGCUUGCCUUUCUAUAUAUAUAGAGAGAGCAAGGAUCAAGAGAAUGACUCUUAAAUAACAUAACUCCUUAAAGAGCAUAACUUCCCAUUAGCGACGGACCAAACCGUCGCUAAAUGCAUCACCAUAGGUCCGUCCGUCGCCAUAGGUUCCUCCGUUGCUAUAUAUUGUCCGUCGGAUAAGACCUAUGGCGUCGGACGGACCUAUGGCGACGGACAGACGACGGUUUGGUCCAUCGCUAAAGGUGUUAUUCUUGUUAUGUCUUUUAAGAGUUAUGCUUUUAAAAUGCUCCCUAUAUAUAUAUAUAUAUACGGUCCGGAUCUUAAGCUCACCCAACAAAAAACUCACCCAAACUCACCCUCUAUAGCGACGGACCGGGCGACGGUUUGGUCCGUCGCUAUAUAUACAACUGUUGUCUUAGCUUUUAACGACAGAUAACAUAUAGCGACGGAUAACAUAUAGACGACGGUUGUAUAUAUAGAGACGUACGAACCGUCGCCCGGUUCGUCGCUAAAGAAGGGUGAGUUUGGGUGACCUUUUAGUUGGGUGAACCUAAGAUCCUUACCAUAUAUAUAUAUAUAUAUAUAUAUAUAUNNNNNNNNNNNNNNNNNNNNNNNNNNNNNNNNNNNNNNNNNNNNNNNNNNNNNNNNNNNNNNNNNNNNNNNNNNNNNNNNNNNNNNNNNNNNNNNNNNNNAUGGGAAUAACCACCCUCUCACAAUUACCAUCAGUAUAUCUUGUUUAGCUCUGUUUUAUUCAUCACUAUGAUUUGAUAUAUCUUACCCACAUAAAUUCUUUUGCGUGCUUGCUACUCAGGAUUCUCACUAGCAACUCUCUUACUGGUUGGCCAACUCCGAAUUGGAUCGAAAGCAGUACUAAUACUAAUGAGUAUGUAUGCACUCUAGAUUAAAUUUUUUUCUGCCCUUGCUUAUGAUUUGGUAGCUCAAUAUUAACUUAACAUAUACUACCAGCACAAUCGUUAUUGUAGGAUGAGAAAAUUAAAAUAUAUGCAAACUAAAACAGAAUCUUAAGUACAAUCUUAGGUAGGAAUACUAGGGAUCUUAAUUAUGACAAGUGUUGAAGAUCGUAAGGAUUUUCUUGAAAAACACAGAAUCUAAAGAAUGGUGGUGGAGAAGUUAGCUUCAGAGUUCAGAUGACACAAUUUUCUUCUUCUUGGAAUUAAAAUUAAUGGUAUACCUUGUAAAAACCCGAGCCUAGCUCACCCAGGACUCCGAUCAAGGUUCAAUCCACUGCCAAGAACAAAUAUCAUGUCAGCUUUGUUCGUUGACAAGUUAUUCGUUUCUUGGUAAUAUAUAUCAAGUCCCAAAAGCAUUAACUAUAAGAGUAAACGAUUCACCCGCCUGUACAAAAUAAAUCUACCAGCUGUACAAUCUCUCCUUGCUGUAACUUACCUUAAAUUUAGGGUAUUUGUCACCUUAAACUUAGGAUAUUUGUUACCUUAAACUUAGGAUAUUCUGUUGCUUAUUCUCAUUGUAACCUCUAUAUAAACAUAUUGCAAUAUAAUGUAAAGACAUCCUUUUACCAAAUCCUUUAUGGUAUCAAAGCAGCCACGCUCCCACGAGCAUUCAGAUCUAUCUCUUGUUUCCAUGGCAUAAAAUUCUCAAACAAAUUCAGCCUCUGUUGUGUUUAACCCUGCUAUUGCAGCACCAAAUUCAUUGAUUGCAAUCAAUGUCACAUCACAACUACCCCUCAAACUCACGUCAAUAAACUACCUGACAUGGCGUCUUCAGUUCAAAGCUCUUCUCAUGGGCUAUUAUCUCGUGCGAUAUGUGGAUGGCUCUUAUCCAGAACCACCCAAAAUCUUGAACGAAGCAUCCAACCCUGCUCACCUGCUUUGGCUUCGACAAGAUCAGCUUCUGUUGCACUCCUUCAUCGCCUCUGUUUCAAAACAAAUCAUGCCGCUCAUUGCUUCUGCAACAACCUCCCGUAUGGUAUGGGAGAAACUUAGCAAUCUCUAUGCAAAUCGCUUGCGAUCCAGAGUUAUGAGUCUCAAGGAACGACUCACUGCCACCACCCGUGGCUCCAGCCUGUGGGUGAAUUUCUUAACACCAUGAGAAGCAUAUAUAAUGAACUUUCAAUAAUUGGUGAGUCUCCUAGUGAUAUUGAUUUGGUUGUCCAUGUCCUCAAUGGUCUUGGUCCAGCAUUCAAAGAAAUCGUUGCAGCGAUUCGUGCUCGCGAAAACCCGAUCCCAUAAUCAUGGCUCAUGUCACCCAACGAUCUGGACAAUCCAACACCUCUACUCCCAGGCACUAUAACAACAACAAAGCCUCAUCCAACAAUCGUGGACAUCAGCCAUUCUCUACCUUUAAUCGUGGCUAUCAAGGCUCAAAUCAACCCUAGAAAAAGCCCCCAGGCCAGGUUACAAAGGCUUUUGUCAAUUGUCUGAUCAACAAGGUCAUAGUGCCAAACGCUGCCCUUGCGUCCGCUAUGAUUUCUCUACAGCUCCUACUGCCAACUACACUGCCACUGCUCCUCCACAGCCACAAAAUUGGCUUCUUGAUUCUACCGCAUCUCAUCAUGUCAUAGAUUAUCUCAACAAUCUCUCACUCACCUCGGCAUAUGAAGGUUCAGAUGUUAUUGUUAUAGGCGACGACACAAGUUUGCGCAUAACUCAUACUGGCAAUGCAACUCUUCCCACUUCUUCCAAAACCUUUGCCUUAUCUAAUGUUCUUUGUGUUCCUUCCAUCAAGAAAAAUUUGCUUUCAGUCUCUCAAUUUUGUAAAUCUAAUAAUACAUCUAUUGAAUUUUUUUCAUACUUAUUUUUUGGUGAAAGAUCUUCGCACGAGGGCGACUCUUAUUCGCGGUCGAAAUAAUAAUGAUGUGUACGUGUGGCCUCAGUCUUUGUCUCCUCCGACACUCUGCCAUGCUUUGGUUGGUGUGAAAGCUCCAUUGAUCAAAUGGCACAAACGGCUUGGCCAUCCCUCCUCUCGUAUUCUACAUCAUCUUGUUACCUCUUGCACCCUUCCUCUAGUGAAAUAAAUUGUGACUCAUGUCUUCGUAAGAAAAGCCAAUGGUUUCCUUUUCAUGUAUCUUCUCUCAAGAAUCGUGUCCCUUAGAUUUAAUUUACACAAAUGUUUGGGGCCUGCCUCCAAUAAUUUCAACAUAAGGUUAUCGUUUUUAUGUCAUUUGUGUUGAUCAUUUUACCAAAUAUAUUUGGUUCUAUCCUAUUUGUCAUAAAUCUAAUGUUUUUACCAUCUUCCCCAAAUUCAAAAUCACUGUUGAAAACUAUUUUAAAAAAUCAAUUGCUUCCACUUACUCGGAUAAUGGGGGAUAAUACAUCACCAUGAAAGAAUCUUUUGUUACCCAUGGCAUCACUCACCUCACUACUCUUCUACACACUCCUCAACACAAUGGAACCGUUGAACGCUGCCAUUGGCACAUAGCGGACAAAUGUCUUACCAUGCUCCAUCAGGCCUCACUUACCCUCUCUUUCUGGCCCCAUGCUUUUCAAGAUGCCAUGUACCUCAUUAAUCGCCUCCCUACUCCCAUUCUCCACCUUAAAUCCCCGUUUGAAUUUCUUUUUGGUGAUCCGCCAAAUUAUCUCAAGCUUCGUGUCUUUGGAUGUUUGUGCUACCCAUGGUUAUGUCCAUAUGCUAAGCACUAACUUGACUCUCGUUCACAUUCAUGAGUUUUUCUGGGUUAUUCUCUCACUUAGAGUGCCUAUAAGUGCCUUGAUCCCACUACCCACCGCUUAUUCAGCUCUCGCCAUGUCCGCUUUGUUGAAUCUGAAUUUUCCAUAUGCUACCUCCCCCCAUGCACGCCUAUCCUCUCACUCCCUUCCCAAUUGGACAUCAUCAUUUGACAUUCCUCCUCCAUCACCUGUUCCUCCAUCUUUAUCCUCUCCUACUCCUUUUCCAUUUGGCCACGCCAGUCUUGUCGCUUGUAGUCCUCUCACCACACCAACAACAGGUCACCGUACAUUCAUACCGGUCUUCAAUCUCGUGCGACAAUCUCUCAUCUGCAUCUAGUUCUGACCUAACUACUUUGCCACCAUCAUCACCAUCCCCACCAAUACCGCCCCCACCACCUCAUAUCCCAACCCAUCCCAUGAUCACUCGUGCCAAAAACAAUAUUUUUAAACCUCGCCAACUUAAUGUGAUCACUAAACAUCCCUUACCUGUCACCCUUGAACCAUCUUGUGUAUCUCAGGCCCUUCAAUACUCAGAGUGGCGAGCUGCCAUGUCAUAUGAGUUCAAUGCUUUAGCCCGUAAUGACACUUGGGAAUUGGUCCCUUCCUCUCCGAAACAGAAUUUGGUGGGUUGCAAGUGGGUAUUCCGGAUCAAAAGAAAACCAGAUGGAUUUAUUGACAGGUACAAGGCCCGUUUUGUAGCAAAAGACUUUUAAACGUCCUGGUGUUGAUUAUACUGAGACAUUUAGCCCCGUUAUAAAGUCUACCACCAUUCGUGUUGUGCUCUGCUUAGCUCUUCGGCAUGGCUGGCCUAUUUAACAACUUGAUGUCAAUAAUGCUUUUCUUCAUGAAUCUCUUUCUGAGGAAGUCUACAUGGCUCAACCCCGGGGUUUUUUUUGAUGAUCAGCUGCCUAAUCAUGUUUGUCGUCUCCACAAAGCCAUCUAUGGCCUUAAACAGGCUCCACGAGCUUGGUACAAUGAGUUGGCCACGUUUCUCGUCUCUCAAAAGUUUUCCAACUCCAAAACUGAUACUUCUCUGUUCAUCUACAAUCAUGAUGGCAUCAUUGCCUAUUUCUUGGUCUAUGUUGAUGACCUCCUCAUCACUGGCAACAAUGGAUGUUUUUUAGCUUCUUUUAUUGCUGCAUUGUCCUCCCGCUUCUUUGUAAAGGACAUGGGUGCUCUCCACUACUUCCUUGGUCUUGAAGUCAUACCCACCUCCACUGGUCUUUUCUUGUCCCAACACAAAUAUAUUCAUGAUUUACUUGUCCGCACCAACAUGAUAGGUGCAAAGGAGGUCACUACAUCACUCUCCAACACUACCAGCCUUACUCUCACUGACGGCUCUGCCUUUAUGGAUGCUAGUGAAUUUCGAAGUGUUGUCGGGUCCCUUCAGUACUUCUCACUAACUCGGUCAGACAUCGCUUUUACAGUGAAUAAACUUUCUCAAUUCAUGCAUAAACCAACUCAGCAAUUCAUUGGCAAUCUGUUAAGCGUCUCUUACGGUACCUCAAGGGAACAAUUCAUCAUGGCCUAUCACUCACAUGUAAUCCUUCCACUUCAUUAUAUGCCUUUUCUGAUUCAGAUUGGGCUGACAAUCCUGAUGACCGCAUGUCCACCACGACCUACAUUUUAUUUUUGGGCGAUAAUGCUGUCUCUUGGGCCUCUCGGAAGCAACGCUCAGUUGCUCGUUCUUCUACUGAGGUAGAGUAUCGGGCAGUUGAUGCCACUGUUGCUGAGUUAUCUUGGGUUCAGCAUCUCUUGGGUGAGUUGGGUGCAUUUCUUCCCACUUCACCGAUGAUUUAUUGUGAUAAUGUGGGCGCGACUUACCUCUGUGAAAAUCCAGUCUUCCACUCUCGCAUGAAACAUAUAGCUAUUGAUUUUCACUUUGUGUGUGAUCAAGUCACCAAGGGUCAGCUUCGAAUCUCUCAUGUUUCUACUACUGAUCAGCUGGCGGAUGCUCUCACCAAACAACUCUCUCGACAGCGGUUUACUCUUCUUCGGACCAAGAUUGGUGUCUCCGAUGAAAGCACCAUCUUGCGGGGGUGUAUAAGAGUCCAUGAUUCAUCAAACUGUACCAAAUAAAAUCCACCAGCUGUACAAUCUAUCACUGCUGUAACUUUCCUUAUACUUAGGAUAUUUGUUACCUUAAUCUUAGGAUAUUAUCACUGCUGUAACUUUCCUUAUACUUAGGAUAUUUUUUACCUUAAUCUUAGGAUAUUCUGUUGCUUAUUCUCUUUUUACUCUCUAUAAAAACAUUCUGUAAUACAAAUGAAUAGAUACUUUUUACCAAAUCCUUUAGUNNNNNNNNNNNNNNNNNNNNNNNNNNNNNNNNNNNNNNNNNNNNNNNNNNNNNNNNNNNNNNNNNNNNNNNNNNNNNNNNNNNNNNNNNNNNNNNNNNNNCAAAAUAAAUCUACCAGCUGUACAAUCUCUCCCUGCUGUAACUUACCUUAAAUUUAGGAUAUUUGUUACCUUAAACUUAGGAUAUUCUGUUGCUUAUUCUCAUUGUAACCUUUAUAUAAACAUAUUGCAAUAUAAUGUAAAGACAACCUUUUACCAAAUCCUUUAUUAACUAGGUCAUUAUAAAACACCACAGACCACCCAAAAGUCAUGCUUGGUAGUAGACUUAAGAUUUUAUAUAUCGAUGUGAGACUAGGGUGUUACGUACCUAAUUGAAUUUAUGAGUGUAAUAACAUUUCAUUUCUUAGCAUAAAAUGUUCCAUAAUGAUUUGCUAUUAUGUAGAUUUAAUUUUGUUACUUCAAGGUUUCUGCCUUUUCUUCUUACAUUUGUUUCCAAUCACCAUUAUAACCUCUGAUGCAAUUCAAAUGCUCAUAUGCAGCAAGAUAGAUCUUUCUUACAAUAAUUUUUCCAAAGUGCCAUCAACUUGCAGGGAAACAUUGUAAGCCCCAGACUUCGCAUGAUGUCUUUUCUCUAUUAAUAUAUUCAACUAAAACUUUACUUUUAUCAUUUUUAUCAGAAACUUGUUCAGAAGCAAUUAUGGAGGGAACAACUCGUAAGCUUUAAAUAUGUUUCAUAUUAUUGAGAUCUUGAGAUUUUUGUUUAGGUUUUUCAAUGGCAUAAGGCUUGUACUUACCUCCCCCUGUAUGAUUUAAACCAGAGAACUUGCUCCGUGCCUCAACCGCUGUACAAAGGGUAAGUAAAUUUUCUAAAAAAAUUUGAUAGCAAAAUCUAGAUCUUUUACUGAUAUUUCUUCAAUAGUGAUGUUAAAUAAGGAUAAGAUGCUUAGUUUUCCUUCUACUUUCCCCACUUUUUUUUGGUAUAUUAAUCAAGAUAGUGGAAGAAGUCAAGUUCUCCCUCUGGAAUUAGGAUCCUCUUCAUUUCAUGGUCCAAAUUUAAAAUGUCUUGAAAUGUGACAUCAUGAUGAUGAGAGAGAGAGAGAAACAAUGAUAAAAAAAAAUAUACAAAGAAGGGAGAGUCUCUAUUUCAUUUGAAAUUAAGAGGAUAAAGAGAGUAAUCCUACCUUUUUAUUGAUCUUUUACAAAAAAAUUAAGUUUGUAUAAAACAUGCCCACACAUAAUUUGUUAGGAACUAGAUGAGUUCCUAACAAUGGGAGAUAGAUAAUUAGAUCAUAAAGAGACUGAAACAAAGUUUGGGGAGAAAGAAAAUGCAGAAAUAGGUUAGAAUGGAGGUGAGGAAGAGAUAAGGGAGAAGAGUCUAAAGAGACUCUCUCAAAUAUUUCAUAUAACCGUUCAUAAAGCUUGAAAUGAAAAUAACUCACUGCUUACAUAUUUAUACUAAGGUUACUUGAAGAAAAAUAAAGCUUAACCUACACCUACUUUACUUAUCCUACACCACCUGCACAUAGGUGCAUGGGCAUGUGAGGUUGUUACUUGAAGAAUAUUCUAGAUAAUGAGACCUAACAAAAAAUGACUAGGGUUAUGCUUGACAAUUCCCUCCUUUAAAAUCCAUGCACUCAUGGAUAUUAGGAUUAGUAGCCUCUUUUCUAGUUUUCAACCCUUAUCAAAAACUGAUUGAGCCCCAAAUAGGAAGACCAUCUCUUAACUGCUUCUACAAUUGUCAUGAAUUCCUUCUCAUAAGUAGAGAACCCUUGUCCUUUUGACCUAAGAGCCUUACUAAAAUAAGUUAAUGGCCUUCUUUCUUGCAUUAGUAUAGCUCUAAUGUCUUCCCUAGCUUUGUUCAACAAGGAUUUGGACACAAGAUUUCUACGAAUAUCGGGCACAUGAAGCACAUCUUACAAACCAAUUGUUUUUCCCAAGUUAGUUUUAGUAAAACUUUCCUUUUCCCCGCAACAUUGGUGGCUCGAGAAUCGCCCAUAAAAACUUUUUCUCCAUUAGUCACAUUUUCGUAGUUAAGAAUUACGUCUCUAUUUGCGCAAAUGUGUCUAGUGGCUCCGGUAUCUACUACCCAUUCCGUGAAAUUGUAAACUAGGUUUACUUCCGAGACUACAACAACAAUAAUGUCAUCGGAUUCAACCAAGUUCGCUUGGGGCUUAGGCUGAGAGUUAUUGUUAUUAUCUUGCCCCUUGCGAAAGUGACAUUUUAUAGCAAUAUGGUCAUGUUUGCCUCAUACGAAGCAAGGACCUUUAGUGAAAGGUUUCUAAAUUUGGUUGGGACUCUUGAACCUAUUAUCUUUUCUUCCCAUUGAUUUCUGGUUUUUCCCUUUGUAGUUUUUGGACUGAUAAUUUUGGGUCUUCCAUUGUGGCCUUUGUUCUACGAGAUUAGCCUUGACAGUGUGAUUUAGAACUAUGUCUCCUCAGUCUUUAGCUCUGUUUUGUUCUUCGAUAUGUAUGUGUGCCACUAGUUCCUGCAUAGUAUAAUCUUUAGUUUCAUGUUUAAGGUCCAUCUUAUAAUCUUUCCAAGAGGGGUGGUAAUUUUUUGAUAAAAGCAGCAGCUUGAAAGGUCUCACACAUUUUCAUUCCUUCCCCAAUGACUUCCCCCACAAUUGUUUGAUAUUUAUGAACUUGCUCUAUAACAGAUUUUCCAUCUUGCAUAAGUUGCAUCUUAAAGUCUAGAAAUUUCCCAGCUACAUAUUUCUUAAGACCAGAGUUUUCAACAGCAUAUUUAGACUUUAAGGCAUCCCAAAUUUUCUUAGCAUUUUCAUACAGAUAAUAGAUAUCAAAUAACGAAUUAGACAGAUAGUGCAAAAUAUAUAUACGGCAUGUACGAUUAUCUUUAACAUAAUCCCCUUUUGCAGAUUUUUCAACAGGUUCAGUAGCAGCAGUAUUAUCAACAAUAGCAGGAAUAGCAGGAGCAUCCAUAUAUAACACAUAUUCCAAAUUCAUAGUUUCCAAAUAAAAUAACAUAUCCUCUGACAAUCUCUUAAAAUCCGUACCAUCAAAGCGUUCAAUUUUAGAUAGGUCUAAAGCAGAUUUCAUCUUGUUAAUUAUCAAAAUCACUUUUUAGAUUGUUGGAGUAUUAUGCAGAAUUAACAAGACGACGAACAGAACGUAAAUUGGAACAACUUAUCUAAAAAUCGAGGCGUAGCUAGCUAGAGGCUACUGUCCUAAAAAGUGAUUUCGCUCCCACUAGUAAUAACCUUAUGUACAAACGGGCUGCCUGCGAUCACCCUCCAGUAUUCAACGAUGAAGGCUCCAAUUGUGUGCACUCACAGACGGAGACUUUGGACUUGUCUUAUGUGAAUUGCCCAGAAAAGUAAUAUGAAGAAAGUAUAUAAUAUAAUAUGAACAGAGUAUAGAUGAUAACUGUAUAGAGAAUAACUUGUAAUUUUUGUGUCUGAACUCUGAAUAACAGUUUGAUAUAUAUAGGAAAAAAUAUGAACGUUGGAAGAAGAACCGUUGGGAGGAAAAUUUAUUGACAUUAACGUUGGGCUAAAUAAGGUUAAUGUUUUGGAGCGUAAUGCGCGCACACACGCACUAAGGUUUUCUGACCGGAAGUCCAAGAUCCAAGCUUAGCCCAGACCAAUUCUUUAGCCAUCCUCAUGUCCGCGAGCCCAUCCCUAUUUCCUUAACUAAGUUAUUAAGCCCACACCAAAGAGUACUAAUAUACACGAGGAAUGUUUUCAAAAUAGGCAAUGUGAGACUUUGACAAAAUUCAAAAUUUUGAAGCACAACCAACACCUUGAACCAGCUCUUAGGCACCCCAUGUAAAUACAUGGCAGCAAUAGGCAUUAUUCUCUUCUCAUUCACUUGGUAAAUUUCAAAGUAUUCCUCACAAUCAUAUACCCAGCUAGCAGCAUCAUCCCCCUCUUCAAAAGCUGGAAAUGACAAUUUCAAAUGUCUAAGUUAGGAUCCCUUUCCUCAUGCCUCCUCCUAGGUUCAUAUCUUCUCCUUAGGUUGGUCCUAGUGUCUGUAGUAUCAUAGUCACCAUCACUAUUAUUAUCCUCUUCUUCUUGUGUUAUCCUCGUGUGAUAGAGAUCUGUAUAAAUACAUUUUCCCUCUUUGUGAGCUCUUCUAGGAUUAUAAAAGUCAUUCCCAUCAUUGGAACCCUUAGACUGAAGCGUCUUAACAAUUCUAUCCAUGAAGGAAUCCAUUUUAACUUCAAUGUUCUGCAGUUUCUCAUGAGUGUACUCUCUCAAACUUAGAAAGUCUUGUUGCAACAUUUGGUUGGAGUUUUAAUGUGAAGGUCCAACCAUGUUGGUGAAUUGUUUAGAGAAACGAAAUUGAAAAUCAGGAUUAUUAAGUUUCAGAGUUCAAUCAAUAGAUUGAUCUGGUGUCAACACUAGACCAAUUGGAGUAAAUGAGCUUGAGUGUUAAUUUUGGUGGUGAAAAGAACUACUCAAGAACAAUUAGAGUGUUCAAAAUCUCUAGAAAUUUAAGUACACCUAGCCUAAGCUUAGAUGCACCUAUAUAGAGUAAACAAGCUACUGAAGAACUCAUGGCUAAAAAUAAGUAUAUUAUGAACAACAAGAGACACUAUCAGUGUACUAGAGCCAUUUUUGUCACUCUUAUAGCAGAAAAUUGUGUAAACUGGAAAGAAAAAUUUAAUAAUAGGACAAUAAACUACUCAAAUCUGCUAUAGCUUUGUUUAGGGCACUUGAUUAAGUAGAAUUCAUAUCACUCUUUUCAACAACAAUCAAACGGGUCUCUUAGAAAGAAAAAAAAUCCGAGUUCGGCAAGUUUUCACCUACAUAACUAGAAUUUAACAAAAGGUUCAACCAUUUGAUUAGUUUGUUGAUUAGAAUAAGUUCCUAAUAAUCAGAUCUAAGUGGUAUAUUCUAGCUUGUAAUUAGAAUUUUUGGUUGGUAAAUAAUGAACAAUGAAAUACGAGAUUAAAUUCCAUCAAAUGGUGUUUGUGUGUGAGUUUAAGGACUUAGUACUUAGAAUAGAUGUAAGCGAGUAGAGAAAGAGUGAUUUAUACCAUAAACAACAUGAAAAUGUUGUUGAAUUCCGUAGUUGCAGGUUGAACCAGAAAACAGGUGCAAACAGAGAACAAUUUCCUCCUCCUUGUUGUUGUUGUGUUUUAAGUACUUGAAUACCAACUAUUUCUGCUGGGUAAUACUUGCAGAUGAUUACCCAAAAGAAACCAGUAACAAUUCCUCCAAUUGAAGACUCCAACUAGUAACCCAGAUAACCCAAAAAUUAAGUUCGAAGUGAAGAAGAAGAGGGUUUCAAACUGUCGAACAGCUUUGACACCAAUUCGUUAGGAACUAGAUGAGUUCCUAACAAUGGGAGAUAGAUAAUUAGAGCAGAAAGAGACUUGAAACAAAGUUUGGGGGAGAAAGAAAGGGCAUAAAUAGGGUAGAAUGGUGUGGUGAGGAAGAGAUGAGGGAGAAGAGUUCAAAGGACUCUCUCAGAUAUUUCAUAUAAUCGUUCAUAAAAUUUGAAAUGAAAACAACUCACUGCUUACAUAUUCAUAUAAUCGUUCAUAAAAUUUGAAAUGAAAACAACUCACUGCUUACAUAUUUAUACUAAGGUUACUUGAUAAAUAGAUGGAUUUUAAGGUUACUUGAAUUCUAGAUAAUAAGACCUAACAGAAAAUGACUAGGGACAUAAUUCCUUUGGAUUUUUCUUGUUCAAAAGUAAACUUUAAUAUUAGUUAAAAAAAGUAAGGCUCCGAAUGAGGAUUUCUCUUUCCUUUUUAUUAUCUG
rnacentral:lncRNA from 1 species